UUGCGUUAGCGAUUGCAGCGGCAUCCUUUUUGGAGGAACGGAAAAAAGAUAUAGCGAAAAGCGCGACCCUUG
rnacentral:sRNA from 1 species